rnacentral:rRNA from 1 species
AGCGAACGCUGGCGGCAUGCCUAACACAUGCAAGUCGAACGAAGGCUUCGGCCUUAGUGGCGCACGGGUGCGUAACGCGUGGGAAUCUGCCCUUUGCUUCGGAAUAACAGUUAGAAAUGACUGCUAAUACCGGAUGAUGUCGCAAGACCAAAGAUUUAUCGGCAAAGGAUGAGCCCGCGUAGGAUUAGCUAGUUGGUGGGGUAAAGGCCUACCAAGGCGACGAUCCUUAGCUGGUCUGAGAGGAUGAUCAGCCACACUGGGACCGAGACACGGCCCAGACUCCUACGGGAGGCAGCAGUGGGGAAUAUUGGACAAUGGGCGAAAGCCUGAUCCAGCAAUGCCGCGUGAGUGAUGAAGGCCUUAGGGUUGUAAAGCUCUUUUACCCGGGAUGAUAAUGACAGUACCGGGAGAAUAAGCUCCGGCUAACUCCGUG